UUCCGCCCGAGCGGGUGGCCAAUGACGGCCCAGGAGGCGCGUUUCCUGCCGUGUCGGGCGGGGCUUCCGCUGUCGCUGCAGCGGGACAUCCUUCCGGGAGCGGUGGCUGGUUGGACCACGACCACGUGGACUGGAGCGCCGCGCGGUGGCCGCUUCUGUGCGGCCGAGCUGGGAAAGAGAGUGACGUGGCGGAGGCCACCGCCGCGCCUGGUGCAAGCCGUGCCCCCUGGCCCCCGCUCCAUUCCCCUGGGACUGUGCCCCCGACUGUGGGACAGCUCCCCUCGCGCCUCGUGUCUGCCAGGCGCCGCCGGGACCGCGCGUUCGCCCAGGCCUCAGCUCCUGCGCUCCGUCGCUGCGGCCCCGAAGGCGGCGGCCUGCGCCCUGUGAGCCUUCGGCACCAUUUUCUAGCCGGGCUGCGAGCGCAACACGCAGCCAGAGACGACCCCGCCCACGCUGAGCCCUCGGGACCCGCCCUGGUCGCCCGCCUCUCAGGGUUCCGCUCAGCCCUCCAGGUCCCGGGCCGUUGGCGGAGGCGGCAGCACCGAUGAAUCCGGCGCAGGGCUGUGUGACCUUCGAGGAUGUGUUCGUGUAUUUCUCCCGGGAGGAGUGGGAGCUCCUUGAGGAGGCUCAGAGACUCCUGUACCGUGAUGUGAUGCUGGAGAACUUUGCACUUGUGUCCUCACUGGGGCUUGCAGUGUCCAGGUCUCAUGUAGUUACCCAAAUGGGGCUGGAGGGGAGCCCAGGGUGCCUCAGAAGGUAGACACAGCCUCAGCCACAGCAAAGAAGACCUGGACGAGGCCUGCUUGUUGGCAGGAGUGGAGGAUGAGGAUCCACCUUCUGAGCAGGGUCUUUCUGUGGGUGUGUCACAGACAAGAACUCCCAGGGUGGGUCCUUCCACCCAGAUGGCUCAGCCCUGUGACAUGUACAGCCUGGUCUUGAAAGACACUUUUGCACCUGGCUGAGCCACAGGGACACCAUGUGGCAGCACCCGUACACCACCGUAUGAAUGAUUUGGAGAGACUUCUGGUUCAGUGUAAACCUUGACCAGGUGCAGAAGCAGCAGAGUGGAGAGAAAUUCCUCAGAAGGGAGAAGGGCCAGGCCUCGUUGCAGAGCUCCAUUGAAGGCCACAUGAAGAGCUACACACCCACGUGUCAGAGAAGGCCUUCACUUACAGGGUGGGUCCCAAGAGCUUCCUGGUUGACUCUGGAUUUGUCCAGCACCAGGACCCUCACAGUGGGGAGAAGCCACACAGAGCACUGAGUGUGGGGAGGCCUUUCUGUGCUGGCGUCACUGACGGGCCCUUUUGUGUAGCGGAUUCUGUUAGGCGAGAAAGUACAACCUGAGACCAUAAAGCCUCCCACCUCAGCUGCCCUUAUUGGAAGGAGCCUCGUUCCAGGGGCAGUUCACUCACAGUCUCAAGGGACUCCUGGUCGGGGUGAGCCAGGGAACAAAGAGGGCCAGAUGCAGGAAGGGCGCUUGAGCCCAGGACAGUUUCCCACAAGUUAUCCCACAAGGAGAGUCUCCCCGGGAAGACGCGCUCUGAACGCAGUGGUGUGGGGACAGGUGAUAACCCCCACUCGAGAUGGUCAUAGUAGCGAGGCUCCAGGGGAUGCUUUUCGUGAACAGAACUCCCAUGGACCAGGUGCAGCUUCCAUGGUCCAUGCAGGGAAGAAUCUCCACAAGUGGAAGGAAUGCGGGCAAGGGUUGAGCAAACGUUGGCUUGUUGUUCGACAUCAGCAGACUGGGCUGACGUGAAGCCCUGUGACGGCAGUGCACGUGAGAAAGGCUUUGUCAAGCAGGCGGACCUCAGUCAACAUGUGAGGAUUUACACUCGGCAAAGCCAUGAGUGCCUCCAGUGUGGGAAGGCCUUCAACCACGUCAGACCUCCUGCAGCACCAGUAUAUUGACACUGGGGAGAAGCCUCAGGAAUGCAAAGAACAUGGGAAAGUCUCCUGUGACAGCUCUGCUUUUGUCCAAAAUAAUAUUUCCCACUCUAGAGAAAGUCUCUUCGAGUGCAAAACAUGUGGGUAAGCCUGUUGUGACAGUGUUUUUUUCACUCAUCAUGUGAGGGUUCUCACGGGAGAGAAGCCCUGAGUGGAAAGGCCUUUAUUCACCCUUUCUUCUUUUUCUGGCAUAGCAGGAUCCAUGCUGGAGGAAAACCUUUAGAGUGUAAAGAAUAUCAGAGAGCGUUUUGUAAGUGCUCUUCCCUAACUCCUCAAUGCCUGAGGAGUCACACUGGGAAGAAACCCAGCAAAUAUAGUGCAUGGACAGGCCUUCAGCCUUCAUCCGUGCCUCACCCAGCCUUUGAGUCUUCAUACUCAGGGUCUCUUACACUUCAAAGCGUAGGAAGCGUCGGAAAGCAUUUUGCAGGUGAACUUACCUAUGUCGUUAUCAGAGAACUGAUACUGGGGAGAGAUCUUUUGAAUGCAACUCCUGAGCAAAAUCUUGUGGCCAUAGGAAACACCUUAACUUGGCACCUGAGACAUUUUACCAAAGAGAAACCCCAUAAGUGUCAUCGCUGUGAGAAAAUCUUCUGGGGCAGAUCAUCACUUUUGUCAUUUAAAGAGUCAUA